AAAAAGGGGGUCGUCAAAUGGCAUCCUUGAAGAAAUACUACAGCCUUAUAGAGAAGAUAUGCCCAGAUGAAGAGAAAGCACUAAGAGGAAGUGGCAGUGAAGGGAACAGAAGAGGUGAAGUGCAAAGUGCCAUAAAAAAAAAAAAGGCUGACCCAGGAGAUUUGAUGCAGACAGGGUCCUAUGAUGUACACUACACUUCAUAACUACUAACCACUAAAGCAGAAUUCUAGAUAUGUAAAAUAACUGACGAAAAAUUAACCAUUAUUUUUAUCCUUUCAGUCCAAUUUUUCACUGCAAACAAUAAUGACAGCUGUAAUGAUUUUCAGUGCUGGCAAGUGACCAUGGCCUAAGCGGGAUACGCUUCAUGUCUGGUGGUUCUUUGCCUCCACGUCGUGCAUUAAAAUUGUGUAAUGCACUCCUAGCCAUGGAUUAUCCCUUACAUGUACCGCAGUGAAAGGUGAAAAGAUGAAAACUGUUCAAAUACAUUCUUAUGCAAAUGAAAUCAUAAAGGGAAGAUAUCAUAAUUUUAUUACACACCAUGAAUUUUACAUUUGAGACACAGGCCGGAUAUCAGAUGGCUUCAUAUUCUUUACUUAUUGCAUAUAAUCCUACUGUAUAUAGUGCACUAUUGGCCCAUUAGAAUGUCAUGUUAGAUUUAUACAAUUGCUUAUAUAUUCUGUGCGUAUAACUAUAUAACAUUUUAAACAGUUAGUAUAACAGUUAGUUCCGGUCCACUAAUUUGAUUGGUGGAGCGUCGUUCCAAGAAUGCCUGCAUUUCUUUUAGCUGCACUGUGAUGUGUCACAGCGUGUAUUACUCCGCUCGUCUGUGUGUGCCACAUAAAAUUCCACUUUCUAGAUUUCUAACUGCUAUUCCAGUAGUGUUAGCAACAUCAGCAGCGGACACAGCAAACGAUACCUUAAUAUAAUAAUAUAAUUUCUGACAAAUAUGAAAGCUCGUCAGACGAAAAUUAAAGGAAGAAGGGACAAGAAUUUUACCUGAAGCACCAUUAAUGGGAGUGUACAAAUCAAUGUUACCUAACUAUCCAGCUAGCUGACGGGCUAUAUAGUGAGUGUAGCUUCUUCUGGAUCUAUUUCCACUAGCGGAGCAAAAGUAAACAGAGCAUUUGGCCAUAAUGUGUCCGAAAUGUCACUUACUCAAAGUUCAUUUCUUGUUUAUAGAUCUGUUGUAUACCUGCAGACGAAUCACUGCCAUGCGACAUUCAGUAUAACCGCACUCUUGCUUGUGCAAUAUUGCUUAAAUAUAUACUGUACUUGUUAUCGAAUAUUUUAUGUAUAAACUGUAAAUGUGAGAAUAUGAGAAUAUGCACAAAUCAGUACAGUCUCUGUACAUUUUUGUCACAUCUCUAAAAAUCUGUGCUGUAAACAUUCCACUGUCUUGACUGUCAGGAAGUCUGUCCUCACUCCCAUGUAUGCAGCUUUAAAACAACAAAGUGUGCACACAUAUUCUCUCUCUCUCUCUGUGUCUCUCUCUCUCUCUCUCUCACGCACACACACACACACAUACACACACUGUAAAAUGCACAAGUGCCAUCGUAUUAUAAAAUACACAACUGAAGAAGUGUGUAGAGUCAUGAGCAUCUGUUUUCCUUAAUACCGACUGCUGACUGUUGGAAUGUAUGGACUAGGCAUUUGCAGAUGUUCAUUUCCUGCUUUGUUUAAAUCACAGUUUGCAAUAUUAUCACAUUAUUUUCUUUAAAAAAUUGCUUACCUCGCUGCUCAUUAAAUAAUAUCUGAAAUUGUGCAAGGUAGUGUGGUCAGCAGGUUGCAUAGUGGAGGUCCAGAUGUGAGUAACUACAAGCUGUGUGCUUCCUGUAUAAAUCUCCAUCUUUCCUGGUAUUAUUUUUCCCUGAGCUCUGUAUGGGGUCUUAUUAUGAAUAUAUGAAUAUAAGAAGGGUCAGUUAUAUUGGAUGGGCAUAAAUACAUACAAGGACAGCAAUGAAUACUUUAGAAACAUAUAUUUUGUCAUAAUAAUAAUAAUAAUAAUAAUAAUAAUAAUAAUAAUGCUACAAAUAAUAUUUAGGAAACAAUGGAACAUAUUAACAUGAGAAUAUAGAACCCUGGAAACAGAGGGCUCUGGGAAUGAGGGACCCUAAACAUAUUGGGCCCAAAGGAUACAGGGACCUGGGAACAUACUGUGUAAUCUGGGGAGUAUGUGGCCCUGAGAACAUAGUAACCUGAGAAUAUAGAGUUCUAGGAUUUUAAGUACUUGAGAAAAUAGCACUCUAUUGGGGCAUAGGAAUAUACUGUAUGUACCUGGAAUAUAAAUGUUCUGGAAACAGGAACUAAGGACAGAGGAAGCCAUUUUAGCACUCUAUUAUGUCAUGACCUGCAAACAUGGGGGCUUGUUCGGUAAAAAAAAAGAAAAGAAGAAAAAGCAGUGGGAAAUCAAUUUUAGUAUGCAGUAUUACUGCUAGAUUUGUUACAAACCCAAUUCCAAAAAAGGUGGGACAGUAUGGAAAAUGCUAAUAAAAACAAAAGGCCGGUGAUUUGUAAAUGUACUUUGACUUGUAUUUAAACAAAAAACGUAUUAAGAUGAGGUAUUUGAUGAUUUACCAAGUCAACUGCAUAGUUUUUUGAAGAUAAACGUUUAUUUUGAAAUUGAUGCAUGCAACAUGUUCCAAAAAAAGUUGAGACGGGGCAAUUUAGGACAAAUAGCAAUGUGACGAGUUGAAAUAAGAAGGUGAAACAGGUGAGGCAAUCGUCUAAUCAGAGUAUAUAAGGAGCCUCCAAAAAAGGCCUAGUCCUUCAAGAGCAAGGAUGGGUCGAGGCUCACCAAUCUGUCAACAGAUGCAUCAGCAAGUACACUUUGAGAACAACAUUCCCAAAAGACAAAUCAGUAGGACGUUGGGCAUUUCACUUUCUACAGUGCACAAUAUAAUUAAAAGAUUCAAGGAAUCUGGUUAAAUCUCGGAGCGUAAAGGGCGAGGCCGAAAACCACUUCUGAAUGCAUGUGAUCUCUGAUCCCUCAGACAUCACGGUCUUAAAAACCGUCAUGAGUCUGUAAUGGAGAUCCUGACAUGGGCUCUGGAAUACUUUGGUAAACCUUUGUCAUUCAACACCAUUCACCUCUGCAUCCACAGAUGCAUGUUAAGGCUUUACUAUGCAAAGCAGAAGUCAUACAUCAACACUGUCCAGAAGCUCCGCCCACUUCUCUGGGCUCGGUCUCAUCUAUGAUGGACAGUAGCACAGUGGAAUCGUGUUUUGUGGUCCGAUGAGUCGACAUUUCAAAUAGUUUUUUUUACAAAACAGCUGUUGUCUUCUCCGGGCCAAAGAGGGAAAGGACCAUCCAAGCUGUUAUCAGCGUCAGGUCCAAAAGCCAGCGUCUGUUAUUGUAUGUGGGCAUGUCAGUGCCCAUGGCAUGGGUAAUUUGCACAUCUGUGAGGGCAUCAUUAAUGCUGAAAGAUAUGUACACAUUUUGGAGCAACAUACGCUGCCAUCCAGAGCAGGAACACAACCAAACCACAUUCUGUGCGUAUUACAAGCGCAUGGUUGUGUAAACAGAGAGUGCGGGUGCAAACAUGGCCUGCCUGCAGUCCUGACCUGUCCCUGAUUGAGAAUGUGUGGCGCAUUAUGAAGCUUAAAAUAAGCCAACGAAGACCCUGUACAGUUGAGCAGCUGAAGAAAUGCAUAAUGGAUGAAUGGGGGAAAUUCUGCUUACUAAACUUAACCAACUGGUGUCUUCACUCAGCGUCCAAACACUUAAUAAGUGUUAUUAAAAGAAAAGGUGAUGUUACACAGUGCUAAACAGUCGACUGUCCCAACUUUUUUGGAGUGUGUUGCAGUCAUCAGACUUGAAAUGAGUGUACAUUUUCAAUAGUAAAUUAAAUUCACAAAGUAAAACAUCUAAUAAUGUGUAAUAAUGUUAGUAUAAUUAGUAUAAUAUAAUGUAAUUCAGUAUAGCACAGGGUGAAUAGAAUUUUCAUAUUACUCUUUUUGUUAGUUUUUUUGUAUUUUCCAUACUGUCCCAACUUUUUCGGAAUUUGGGUUGUACAUUACCACAGUGUACUGUAUGUGAAGCCUUGUUGAACUAAAACACAAAUUUAUUGGGUAUUUUUGGAUGAUUUUAGGCUCUUGAGUAAUGGCUAAUCACCGACUUAUGAUCGUCAGUUAACACAAUUGUCAGUUUCCAUCCCUAUUUAAUAAUAGUAAUAUACAUAUGAACAAACUGCAGCAUAUAUUCACAGAGUGGCCUGAGUCAGCAUCUUGUAAUAGUAAAAUGUGAUCAAGCCACAAAAUAUUACCGAAAUCAAAGCAUUCCGAUACGAGGCUGAUGGGAAUAUCUCUCUAUUUCGGUUUGUUAUGGUUUUUCCUGCUGUGUUUGCCCUGUCAUUUAUACAUUUACUUCUCAAACAUUGCAGCCUGAGAGUAAAUGUGUUUGUGUGUGUGUGUGUGUGUGUGUGUGUGUGUGUGUGUGUGUUUUGAUGGUGGCUUUACAUUUUCAGGAUACUGAAGGCUUCAACUAUGCAUUUAUUAUGGGAAUUGUGUGUGUGUGUGUGUGUGUGUGUGUGUGUGUGUGUGUGUGUGUGUGUGUGUGUGUGUGUUCAUGUUCAUUACACUAGGUUCUGCUGGCCACCAACAACUUAGCUUCUUCUAUUUCUAUCUCGAAGCACAGCACAUGAGACACACAGACAGCACUCUGACUCACCAUGAUGUUUAUCUGCACCGUGUGUAUGUGUGUGUGGGUGUGUGGGUGGUAUGUUUGGGGGGUCACAAGAGGACAGUGUUUCUGUUUGCAUAGGACUGAAAGCAAUGCAACUCCAGUUCAGACACUGGCCUUCAUUAAUUUGCAGUUCCAUCCAGUAUCCCUUAAUAUUCCAGAUGUGUGGGAAUGCACAUGACAUGGGAAAGCACAGUGAACCAUGCAGUGUAAUGAAUUCCAGGAGAAUGUUAACGGGUUCAUUCUUCACUGGUCCGUUUCAGAGUAAUUACCAUUUUGCAUCCUUAUUCAUCUAUGCAUUUCCUCAAAUUAGACAGAGAAUGGAUUUGCAUAGGAGUCGCUCCAACAGCAAGGAAUUGUGUGUGGGUGAGUGGUUGUGUGGGUGGGUGGAUUAGGUGUGAUGUAUGGGUUGAGCACAGAGUGUAUUUUUCCUGAAUGAAUCCUCAUCUUUCCUUUGAUUAUUGUGGGGUUUGAUGUAUGGUGGCAUUGGUGACGUUGUACAUUGGUUGACAUCCAACAACAAAAUAAAGUCCAUCUGGAGAUGGAGCCUGGAGGAGUGGUCUGACUUGUUAAAGAGGAAUUUGUGGGUGAGAUCUACUAUCUAACAAAACUCCAAGGGGUGGUGAGAAUCACCUGGAACCCCUAUGCCACAGUGUCAUGAGAAAUCUUAGGACUGACUGGAAAGGUGUCCAGAGAUGACUGCUGCAUUCAUGCUACUGAGAGGGGCUAGGUUAAACUUGGAGAAGCUAUAACCUGGAGAAGGUACACAGUGAUGCCCAGGUAGCAGCAGCACAUAUUUCUUGGAGUGGCCUGGCUCCACAUGGGAAAGACGCUCCUCAUAGAGUGG
ensembl:lncRNA